AACGAACGCUGGCGGCAUGCCUAACACAUGCAAGUCGAACGAGACCUUCGGGUCUGGUGGCGCACGGGGGCGUAACGCGUGGGAACCUGCCCUUAGGUUCGGAAUAACUCCCCGAAAGGGGUGCUAAUACCGGAUAAUGUCUUCGGACCCAAGGUUUAUCGCCUUUGGAUGGGCCCGCGUUGGAUUAGCUAGUUGGUAGGGUAAAAGCCUACCAAGGCGACGAUCCAUAGCUGGUCUGAGAGGAUGAUCCGCCACACUGGGACUGAGACACGGCCCAGACUCCUACGGGAAGCAGCAGUGGGGAAUAUUGGACAAUGGGCGAAAGCCUGAUCCAGCAAUGCCGCGUGAGUGAUGAAGGCCUUAGGGUUGUAAAGCUCUUUUACCCGCGAUGAUAAUGACAGUACCGGGAGAAUAAGCACCGGCUAACUCCGUG
rnacentral:rRNA from 1 species